AACGAACGCUGGCGGCGUGCCUAACACAUGCAAGUCGAACGGAAUUAGAGAGCUUGCUCUUUGAUUUAGUGGCGCACGGGUGAGUGACGCGUAGAUAAUCUGCCUGACGAUCUGGGAUAACACUUCGAAAGAGGUGCUAAUACCGGGUAAGCCCACGGGUUCUUUGGAAUCUGCGGGAAAAGGGGGGGACCUUCGGGCCUUCUGUCGUCAGAUGAGUCUGCGUACCAUUAGCUAGUUGGUAGGGUAAAGGCCUACCAAGGCGACGAUGGUUAGCUGGUCUGAGAGGACGACCAGUCACACUGGGACUGAGACACGGCCCAGACUCCUACGGGAGGCAGCAGUGGGGAAUCUUGGACAAUGGGGGCAACCCUGAUCCAGCGAUGCCGCGUGAGUGAAGAAGGCCUUCGGGUCGUAAAGCUCUUUAGGCUGGGAAGAAGGUUAGUAGUUUAAGAGAUAACUAGCUUGACUGUACCAGCAGAAUAAGCACCGGCAAACUCUGUGCCAGCCGCCGCGGUAAUAC
rnacentral:rRNA from 1 species